rnacentral:rRNA from 1 species
AGUGAACGCUGGCGGUAGGCCUAACACAUGCAAGUCGAACGGCAGCACAGUAAGAUCUUGCUCUUACGGGUGGCGAGUGGCGGACGUGUGAGGAAUACAUCGGAAUCUACUUUUUCGUGUAGGAUAACGUAGCUAAACUUACGCUAAUAUCGCAUACGACCUACCGGGGAAAGCAGUGGAUAUUCGCACCUUGCGCGAUUGAACUAGCCGAUGUUGGGUUGGCUAGUUGGCGGGGUAAUGGCCCACUCAGGCGAGGAUACGUAGCCGGUGUGAGUGGAUGAUCAGCCACACUGGAGGUGAGACACGGUCCAGAGUCCUACGGGAGGCCGCAGUGUGGAAUAUUGGGCAAUAGGCGCGAGCAUGAUACAGCCAGACCGAGUGGGUGAAGAAGGCCUUCGGGUUGUAAAGCCGUUUUGUUGGGAAAGAAAAGCUGCAGGUUAAUACCACGCUGUUCUGACGGUAACCAGAGAAUAAGCACCGGCUAACUUCGUG